rnacentral:rRNA from 1 species
AUGCCAAUACGUUAGUGGCGGACGGGUGAGGUAACGUGUGGAUAACCUGGUCCAUGCAGGGGGAUAGCAGCUGGAAACGGCUGAUAAUACCGCAUAAGCGCACAGUAAGGCAUCUUACGGUGUGAAAAAGGAGCAAUCCGGGAUGGAAUGGAUCCGCAUCUGAUUAGCCAGUUGCGGGGUAGAAGCCCACCAAAGCGACGAUCAGUAGCCGGCCUGAGAGGGCGGACGGCCACAUUGGGACUGAGACACGGCCCAGACUCCUACGGGAGGCAGCAGUGGGGGAUAUUGCACAAUGGGGGGAACCCUGAUGCAGCGACGCCGCGUGGGUGAAGAAGUAUUUCGGUAUGUAAAGCCCUAUCAGCAGGGAAGAUAAUGACGGUACCUGAAUAAGAAGCCCCGGCUAACUACGUGCCAGCCGCAGC